GAGACCGGUAAUUAAAGUAAAAGCUCACCAUAUCCAAAGAAGAUGAAGAGAUCUAACUACAUGCAAGACUGCUGAACCCACUCUCCAAUGAAAGGAACCAAGUAGAUGUCUGAGACCUGGAGUUCCUAACAAUGUACCAAGAGUCUGAUAAAUGAAUUGCUCACUCCUUGAUAAAAGCUACAGACAGAUGCCAAUGUCGGAUGAAGACUACCACUCCAAAAGUAGAUGCAUGAUGUCCAUGCUGCCCAGUGUCAAAGUACAACGAUGUCUUCCAAAACAAAAGCGAGGGUUGUCAUCUCCACAGAGAUCUACUCAUCAACCAAGUAGAUGUCUGAGACCUGCAGUUGAUGAGCUUCCUAACAAUGUACAAAGAGUCUGAUAAAUGAGCUGCUCUCUCCUUGAUAAAAGCUACAGACAGAUGCCAUUGGCAGAUGAAGUCUACCUCUUCAAUAGUAGAUGCAUGAUGCACAUUCUACCCAGUGUCAAAGUACAGCAAGGUCUUCCCUAUCAACAGCUGGGGCAGUCAUCAGACAGCGAGGGCAGUCAUCUCCACAGAGAUUUACUCAUCCACCAAUUAGAUGCAGUUGAUGAGCUUCCUAACAAUUUACAUUGAAUCAGAUGGUGUCUACCUGUCACACAUUUCCGAGACCUGCAACUGCGUGUAGUCAGCCCACUGUCUACAUAUCACCUGUUAAUAUGUGUGAGGGUUACGCAAGAGGAAGGUAAAAUACCUGUGGUUGUUUUACACUAACAUCAAAGGGUGGUCUGUUUUUGCAGCACUCAUACCAACAGAAUAUCUCGUCACAUACCACAACAUUUUUGGGGAUGAAAUGCUGGCACCAGCCUAACCCGAAAUGAGAGGUCUGUCCCUACAGAUUGAUUACAGAUUUAAAAGAUAGGAAACAUGUUUUUGAUUAACAAAACCCCUGUAACUGUACAAAAUUACAAUUUUAAAUAAUUAAAAAGGUUUUUAGUACAAACCAUUGAUAUUUCUUCUCAAGUUAAACGAUAAACUAGGAAUGAAAUUAUUUCGCAUCGUAUGAUGAUAAGUAAAAGAUCUGGAAUGUGCUGUACACCAUGCCUGACCUAAAACAAAUUUACAAAAUUUAGAUCAGGCAAAUCGACUCCAAUUUAUUUAAGGUACACUUUGGCAAAACUGGUGUGAAAAUUUAAAUGAUGUAUAAAUGGAGUCAUCAUUAAUGGAUCACCAUAUUUUGAUGACAAGGGCAAAUUAAACGCCCCUAGUUAUGGCUAGUUCAUUUAAUAAUAAUAAAUAAUAAUAAAAAAACAUAAUAAAAGUGGCAAUUUAUAAUGCGCCAUGUCUGUCUAAAAGACACUCCUGACGCAGGAGAGAUGCAGAAGCAAGAUUGCAAUGAGUUACAUAGUUAAGCAUAAAUCAAAGUUUUUGACUUCCUUUUGUGUGUCCCGUUACAUUUUAGAACACCUCAAUGUUUCCAUUUCACAGCAUAAAAAAACUGAUAUCCUAAAGUUUAGUGUGUAGCAAAUAACUCUCAUUGCAAUCUUGAAAGCUUCAGAGUUUGAGAGAAAAAGUAAUAUUAUUGAAACCUCAAGGUCUUCAAGGCAUUAUAUAUAUGAAGGAAUCCUAAAUGAGCAAGAAGCUUGUUGAUUUCAUUUGUAAGUAGACAUGUUAAUUAGUUAAUGUCGGAGGCAGAUGUAUUCUAACAUUCAAGUAAAUGUUCUUGUAAAAAGUAAGUGUACCAUUUGCAAGCAAGCACACACAAUGUGUGUAUUUUGAACUCACAAAGUUGGAGAAAAAUGUAUUGUUUCUCGGGGUGGAAUACUUCUCGAAAGAGUGGCUUUAAGAUUUCAGAAAGAUAGUGGGUCUGGUAUAGACUUUUGUUACCAGGAGGAAAAAACCUUAUCUUAAAAACAGAUUUCUUGCAAGGUACACUUAUUUUACUCCACAACUUAAAGUUUCACAAAAUUUUAAAGGUAGCUCAUAACUCAAUAAUUAUAAGUAGCCAGAAUCUUUGUAUUUAAUGUUGUUGACUUAAAGACACUGGACACUCGUGGUAAUUACUCAACAUAAUUGUUGGCAUAAAACCUUACUUGCUUACGAG